GCCAGUGUGGCAUAAUGAUCUGAGUGUUGGACUAGGACUCUGGAGAUCAGGGUUCGAAUCCCGGCUUGGCCA
rnacentral:tRNA from 1 species